GUUGGGGCGUCUGGGAAGCUUCUCCCCUACUCACCCAGCCCCGACCCCACCCAAGGACCAACCCCUAGCCACCCAGGAAGGCCCCAAGGCAGGACUGCGGGCCGCGGUGCUCUUCCCAGAGAGAGGGGGCCGCUAGGCCCUGCCCUCGAGGAGCUUACAGUGAAUCGGGACAACUUGAGCUGGAAAGAAGCUCGAGGGUCCCCAUCGGCCACCCUUUAUCUCCUAGAGAAGUCGAGCGGCCACAAGAGCCAACAGUUGCCCGGGUCAGGCAGGGGCAGAUGGUCCUCUGGUUCUCCCGGAUCCAGGGGUGAAAGCUGGCCGUGUACCCUGGGAAGAAGGCCCACUAAGGGCCGCUGGUGGCCGAGGGGACGCGCUGCCUUGGGAUACGGGAGAGGGACGCCAUUCCGGGAGGCCUUGUUCUGAUCCAUCUUAGGUUCCCUCCAAGCCAGCUAAUUUGACUUUGGGGAUCGUUCCCCUCCCUUUACUGAGAGAGAAGCUGGGGCCCAAAGACAGUGAAACCCCAUGUCCAAGGAAAAAACCCAGCAUUAAUUAAGCAGCAGGCACUGUGCUAAGCAUUUAUCAGUAUUAUCUGAGACUCACUACGACCAUAAGAGGGACAAGCAGAAAAUACAGCUGAUCUUCCUGUGUGAUAGCCAUUCAGGGAUUGAAGUCAUCUCUUGGUCCCUCUGAACUGAGCCAGAGCUCUUCCUCCCAGCCCCAGCCCCCUACAGAGAGGAGGACCCUGCACAACCCCAGGGAAACAGAUUGCCAGCUGGAUCAUGCGGGAAAAAUGCUGACAGGAUGGUGCAUGUAUACUCAAAAAUAUGACCAAAAAACAUGAUGGGGAACAAAAACAGACCAUCUGAGACAGGAUCAGCUAAUAUAACUGGAAAUGUAGAAUCAAGAGAAAGGACAUCCAUUAGGACUUUACCUUCCCUAAACUUUUAUGUCUCCAGGGGCUCACCCCAGAAAAACUAUGGACACUGGAUAAUUAACAUACAUUUGUUGAACCUCCAUUUCAUGCCAUGAUGCUUCGAGGAGUGUACCAGCCUUGUAGUACCACAACAUGGACUGAACUGGAGGCAUCUAAAAGCAUCAACACAAAGCACUAACAAGAUACAAUGUAACAGCUCUGAAAUGUUUCCAUCUCAUUCUCUUCAUAAUAAAGCAAAUCCUCGACUUAUUGUCUG